CAGUAGCCGCGGUAAUACGAAGGGUGCAAGCGUUAAUCGGAAUUACUGGGCGUAAAGCGUGCGUAGGCGGUGAGUUAAGUCUGCUGUGAAAUCCCCGGGCUCAACCUGGGAAUGGCAGUGGAUACUGGCUCGCUAGAGUGUGUCAGAGGAUGGUGGAAUUCCCGGUGUAGCGGUGAAAUGCGUAGAGAUCGGGAGGAACAUCAGUGGCGAAGGCGGCCACCUGGGAUAACACUGACGCUGAGGCACGAAAGCGUGGGGAGCAAACAGGAUUAGAUACCCCAGUAGUCCCUGUCUCUUAUAA
rnacentral:rRNA from 1 species